rnacentral:rRNA from 1 species
ACAGCAGCCGCCGCGGGAAUACGUAGGGGGCAAGCGUUGUCCGGAAUUAUUGGGCGUAAAGCGCGCGCAGGCGGUCAUUUAAGUCUGGUGUUUAAUCCCGGGGCUCAACCCCGGAUCGCACUGGAAACUGGGUGACUUGAGUGCAGAAGAGGAGAGUGGAAUUCCACGUGUAGCGGUGAAAUGCGUAGAUAUGUGGAGGAACACCAGUGGCGAAGGCGACUCUCUGGGCUGUAACUGACGCUGAGGCGCGAAAGCGUGGGGAGCAAACAGGAUUAGAUACCCCGGUAGUCCCUGUCUCUUAUACA